rfam:Gossypium arboreum cultivar AKA8401 contig_9417_1, whole genome shotgun sequence.
AGACAGCUUCAUCUAUUUUUACUGUUAAAAAUUGGCAUGACUAACAGAAUAACCAGACAGCUACACAUGGCGUGCCAUGUGUACCUCAUGCUUCCAUAUAAAGAUCAAUUUUUAACAUUAGAAAUGACGGAGCUUUUAAAA